UAUGUACUCCCUCCGUUCGGAAUUACUUGUCGUAGAAAUGGAUGUAUCUAGAUGUAUUUUAGUUCUAGAUACAUCCAUUUUCGAGACAAGUAAUUCCGAACGGAGGGAGUAGUAU
rnacentral:pre_miRNA from 1 species